GCCUGUCUUUGUGUUGGUCUCAGCGGGAGCGAGUGUGCGCUCACUCAUGCUCUGGCUGGGCUCAGCGUCAGGAGGAGGAGGGAACACAGACAGACGAGCCACUGUUAACCCCUGCUGGGUCACUUUGCUCAGCUCUCAGUGCUCUGCUCUUUCAACACUAGCCUCAUUAGAACUAAAUACAAUGAGUCAAGCAACUUUAAUUACCAAAACAACACAGAGAACAAUACAAACUUUUGACUAAACCAACUGCUGUCCUAAAAGUCUAUAAAGAGCCUCGGAUCUGCUUCAAUGCAUUUUGAGAAGGAGGCGAGGAGAGAGAGGAUGCAAGAAAUCACAAUUGAUUCCCCUCUGUGUUUUCACCACUCAUCCUCCUGAUACUAGGACCUGAGCCCUAGGACCAUGCCCCAGGACUACCUGACAUGAUGACUCCUUGCUGUCCCCAGUCCACCUGGCCAUGCUGCUGUUCCAGUUUCAACUGACCUGAGCCCUAGGACCAUGCCCCAGGACUACCUGACAUGAUGACUCCUUGCUGUCCCCAGUCCACCUGGCCAUGCUGCUGCUCCAGUUUCAACUUCCACCUGACUGUGCUGCUGCUCCAGUUUCAACUGUUCUGCCUUAUUAUUAUUCGACCAUGCUGGUCAUUUAUGAACAUGUGAACAUCUUGGCCAUGUUCUGUUAUAAUCUCCACCCGGCACAGCCAGAAGAGGACUGGCCACCCCACAUAGCCUGGUUCCUCUCUAGGUUUCUUCCUAGGUUUUGGCCUUUCUAGGGAGUUUUUCCUAGCCACCGUGCUUCUACACCUGCAUUGCUUGCUGUUUGGGGUUUUAGGCUGGGUUUCUGUACAGCACUUUGAGAUAUCAGCUGAUGUACGAAGGGCUAUAUAAAUAAAUUUGAUUUGAUUUGAUUUUGAUUUGUUCCUAAUGUUUUACAAACUCAGUGUUUGCAAUUUGAGGAAAGCGACAUCUACAGUAUGUAAAGAGUUGAUGAUUUAAUGAUUGUAUCAUUACAAAUGACUGAACAAUCGCAGAUGCUACGUGUCAGUGAGAAUCAUGUCUCAUAUUUUCCCCCUUUCAGGGAUAUAACAUUACAACUGUAUUGCUAAUAGGCUAUCUGUUUGUAGAUAGAUUGAGGUGAAUGAACCUACAGCAGCCAAGGUGAUAAUGGCCAGUGUCAUUUUUGCUAUUCUCCGAAUAGCAUUUGAAAGUUUUUUAUUUGUAUAGAAAUGCAGUAAAUAAGCUUCAACUUCAAAAAAUAUAUAUCUGAGCCCACUUUAACUCAAACCUAGUUACGACCCUGGUCAUGGACACAUCUUGGAGUCUUUUUCUGAGAUUUUUCUCAAGAUAAUUUCAAAGGACAGCUUGCAAGAUUGUGGUUGAGCUACUGGUGUUCUGCCAGACUCUCUACAACCACAGAGGAAGUAAAAUAUUUCAGCACUCUUUGCAAAUACUUGCAUUUUCACAAUUUUAUGUGAAAAGAUUAUUUACAUUUACCCAUAAAUUAUUUAUCAUCAUCUAUUUGUUUUGUGUGUGUGUGCGCAUAUUUGUGUGUGUGUGUGUAUUCGUGUGUGUGUGUGUGUAUGUGUAUGUGUGUGCAACAGUUAUACUCUGGAUGAUAUGAAAAGGGAUCUUUUGGACUGAUGUCAGAACAAGUCCACAUUGUGCCCCACCAAAGCCCAGCCCAGUACAAAUUGAUAAUGGCAUUCUGAAUAGGCACUUGUUUUGACACCAUGGGUUGUUCACUGACUUCAGACAGAGAAUCUAUGUCUCUCUCUACAAUUCUUUCAAUGUUGGCCAAUCUCAAAAUAUUUUAUUUUUAUGCAAUGCUUUCAUUUUCCCAUGGACAUCACUACCCCCUACUGGAUGUUUAUGUAACUGUAGUUGAGAAACCAGCGGGGCCUUUAUCAAAGGUGCAUCUGCACAAAAAAAGUCUCUUGAGUGCGCCACAAGGGAAUUUAAAUAAUGGUCGGCUAAUAAAAACAUAGCCUAAUGUUAAAACAGAUGAAUUUGCCAUCGGCAAGGAGAUAGCAGCUUGUAGACUAUGUUUCUUUGACAUUUAUUAAUAUGGGCUUGAAUCAUAAUUGUAUUUGGAGAUGGG